GCAGGAGGCACUGUGAACGCGCCUCUUGUGUCCUGUAGUAACUUGGAGCCUGUCAGUAAUCAGAGCCGAAAGUGUGGAAGAUAACGAUCGUCUGCACACAGCGUGGGCUCGGGUUGACAGGCUGAAGGCAGAAGGCAGAAGGCAGCAGAAAUCUACUGACUUCAAACAGUAAGUACACUUAUUUUAAAAGUAAGUGUGAGUGAGAGUAAGAGAGUGAGUUAGUGUGAGAGUGAGUAAGAGAUUGAGAAUGAGUAAGUGUGAGAGAGAGAUUGAGAGACUAAGUGUGUGAGUUAGUGUGAGAGAAUGAUUGAGUUAGUGUGAGAGUGAGUGUGUGAGUGAAUUAGUGUGAGUGAAAGAUUGAGAGAGAGUGAGUGUGAGAAAGUGGAUUAGUGCAAGAGUGAGUGAGUGAGUUAGUGUGAGAAAGUGAACGAGUGUAAAAAUGAGUGAGAGUUUGUGUGUGAGAGAGUGUGAGAGAGUGAGUUAGUUAGUGUGAGAGUGAGAGUUUGUGUGAGUGUGAGAGAGUGAGUUAGUGUGAGAGUGAGUGAGUGAUUGAGAGAAAGUUAGUGUGAGAGUGAGUUAGUGUGAGUGAUAGAUUGAGAGAGAGUGUGAGUGAGUUAGUGUGUGAGAGAUUGAGUGAGUUAGUGUGAGAGUGAAUGUGAAUGAGUUAGUGUUUGAGUGAGUGAUUGUGAGUGAGAUCACUCACACACACACACACUUUCUCUGAUCCAUCCAUCCCUUUCUAUCAAUCAAUCUCUCCCUAUCCAUCCAUCCCUCCUUCUCUAUCCAUCCCUCUGUAACCAUCCAUCCCUCUGGAUGGAUGGAUAGGGAUAAAUGGAUAUGGAUAGGGAUGUAUAGGGAGGGAUGGAUGGAUAGAUAGAUAGGGAUGGAUGUAUGGAUAGGGAAGGAUGGAUAGGGAGGGAUGGAUGGUUAUAUAGGGAUAGAUGGAUAUGGAUGGAUGGAGAGGGAUGGAUGGAUGGAGAGAGAGU